AGUGAACGCUGGCGGUAGGCCUAACACAUGCAAGUCGAACGGCAGCACAGGAGAGCUUGCUCUCUGGGUGGCGAGUGGCGGACGGGUGAGGAAUACAUCGGAAUCUACCUUUUCGUGGGGGAUAACGUAGGGAAACUUACGCUAAUACCGCAUACGACCUACGGGUGAAAGUGGGGGACCGCAAGGCCUCACGCGAUUAGAUGAGCCGAUGUCCGAUUAGCUAGUUGGCGGGGUAAUGGCCACCAAGGCGACGAUCCGUAGCUGGUCUGAGAGGAUGAUCGGCCAAACUGGAACUGAGACACGGUCCAGACUCCUACGGGAGGCAGCAGUGGGGAAUAUUGGACAAUGGGCGCAAGCCUGAUCCAGCCAUACCGCGUGGGUGAAGAAGGCCUUCGGGUUGUAAAGCCCUUUUGUUGGGAAAGAAAUCUUGCCGGUUAAUACCUGGCGAGGAUGACGGUACCCAAAGAAUAAGCACCGGCUAACUUCGUGCCAGCCGCCGCAGUAAAAC
rnacentral:rRNA from 1 species